rnacentral:rRNA from 1 species
AGCAGCCGCGGUAAUUCCAGCUCCAAUAGCGUAUAUUAAAGUUGCUGCAGUUAAAAAGCUCGUAGUUGAAUUUCGGGAUCAAUAUGUUGGUCGUGCCUCGGUACGUACUAGCUUAUUGGUUUCUCCCUUCUGACGAACCAUGAUGUCAUUUAUUUGGUGUUAUGGGAAAUCAGGACUGUUACUUUGAAAAAAUUAGAGUGUUUAAAGCAGGCUCACGCUUGAAUACAUUAGCAUGGAAUAAUGAAAUAGGACGUUUGAUUCUAUUUUGUUGGUUUCUAGGAUCGACGUAAUGAUUAAUAGGGAUAGUUGGGGGCAUUAGUAUUCAAUUGUCAGAGGUGAAAUUCUUGGAUUUAUUGAAGACUAACUACUGCGAAAGCAUUUGCCAAGGAUGUUUUCAUUAAUCAAGAACGAAAGUUAGGGGAUCGAAGACGAUCAGAUACCGUCGUAGUCUUAACCAUAAACUAUGCCGACUAGGGAUCGGAUGAUGUUAAUUUUUAAUGACUCAUUCGGCG